CAUGAAGGAAAAAUUAAAACAUUUACCGGAUAAGGUAGAAAAAUUAAUCAUUAAUAUACAAACCAACUGAGAGAUUAGGGGAGGUCAACGCUGAAAUUUGGAGAAGCGCGAAAGAAAUUGGAUGAGCCAAAGAAUACAGCUAAAUAUGGUUUGGUUACGGAGUGAUGGCAGGAAUACACGUGUCGUAAUAUGAGGGCGUCUGUCAUAAUUCAUACGGUGACAAAACAGUGAUGAUACCAUAAUUUCGUCUGCCCACAAACACAAACGUAAAAAUAAGGGCGAGGGUUCGGAGGAUGAUAAAAGCAGUGGUAGUAGCACUCGGAGUAAACAAUAGAGGAAGCAGGUUUAUGCUGAGGUGCGGUCGUCGUCCCGGAGAGUCUGGUACAUGAAAAGUUUAGACUGCCAAACACGCCCUUAAAUUUCAUUC
rnacentral:lncRNA from 1 species